rnacentral:rRNA from 1 species
UUGAACGCUGGCGGCAUGGCCUUACACAUGCAAGUCGAACGGCAGCACGGGGGGCAACCCUGGUGGCGAGUGGCGAACGGGUGAGUAACGCAUCGGAACGUGCCCAGUAGUGGGGGAUAGCUCGGCGAAAGCCGGAUUAAUAACCGCAUACGACCUACGGGUGAAAGCGGGGGACCGCAAGGCCUCGCGCUGUUGGAGCGGCCGAUGUCAGAUUAGGUUGUUGGUGAGGGUAACGGCUCACCAAGCCGACGAUCUGUAGCUGGUCUGAGAGGACGACCAGCCACAACUGGGACUGAGACACGGCCCAGACUCCUACGGGAGGCAGCAGUGGGGAAUUUUGGACAAUGGGGGCAACCCUGAUCCAGCCAUGCCGCGUGCGGGAAAGAAGGCCUUCGGGUUGUAAACCACUUUUGUCGGGGAAGAAAAUCUUCUGGGCUAAUAUCCCGGGAGGGAUGACGGUACCCGAAGAAUAAGCACCGGCUAACUACGUGCCAGCAGCCGCGGUAAUACGUAGGGUUGCAAGCGUUAAUCGGAAUUACUGGGCGUAAAAGCGUGCGCAGGCGGUUAUGCAAGACAGAUGUGAAAUCCCCGGGCUCAACCUAGGGAACUGCAUUUGUGGACUGCAUGGCUGGAGUACGGCAGAGGGGGAUGGAAUUCCGCGUGUGUAGCAGUGAAAUGCGUAGAUAUGCGGAGGAACACCGAUGGCGAAGGCAGUCCCCUGGGCCUGUACUGACGCUCAUGCACGAAAGCGUGGGGAGCAAAACAGGAUUAGAUACCCUGGUAGUCCACGCCCCUAAACGAUUGUCAACUGGUUGUUGGGAGGGUUUCUUCUCAGUAACGUAGCUAACGCGUGAAGUUGACCGCCUGGGGAGUACGGCCGCAAGGUUGAAACUCAAAGGAAUUGACGGGGACCCGCCACAAGCGGUGGAUGAUGUGGUUUAAUUCGAUGCAACGCGAAAAACCUUACCUACCCUUGACAUGCCAGGAAUCCCGCAGAGAUGUGGGAGUGCUCGAAAGAGAGCCUGGGCCACAGGUGCUGCAUGGCCGUCGUCAGCUCGUGUCGUGAGAUGUUGGGUUAAGUCCCGCAACGAGCGCAACCCUCGUCAUUAGUUGCUACGAAAAGGGCACUCUAAUGAGACUGCCGGUGACAAACCGGAGGAAGGUGGGGAUGACGUCAGGUCCUCAUGGCCCUUAUGGGUAGGGCUACACAACGUCAUACAAUGGCCGGUACAGAGGGCUGCCAACCCGCGAGGGGGAGCUAAUCCCAGAAAAACCGGUCGUAGUCCGGAUUGCAGUCUGCAACUCGACUGCAUGAAGUCGGAAUCGCCUAGUAAUCGCGGAUCAGCUUGCCGCGGUGAAUACGUUCCCGGGUCUUGUACACACCGCCCGUCACACCAUGGGGAGGCGGGUUCUGCCAGAAGUAGUUAGCCUAACCGCAAGGAGGGCGAAUUACCACGGCAGGGUUCGUGACUGGGGUG